CCCUGGUUAGCUGAGUUGGUAAAGCGCUCCGCCUGUAAUGGAGAGGUCCCGGGUUCGACACCCGGACCAGGCG
rfam:Ixodes scapularis strain Wikel colony gcontig_1107729158712, whole genome shotgun sequence.